rnacentral:lncRNA from 1 species
UGGGCACUGGCCUUUCAGCAUCUCCCAAAGAUGAGAAGGGCCCUCUGUCUCUGCCCCACCAGGCCCCACAGUGAUGAGGGUGAUUAUGACUACUUCUGUGACAUGUAAGGCACCAAAAUUAGCAUGUGAGGUCGGACACGAGAGAAAGCAAGGGCACUGGACUGUCUGGAGGAUGUUUUAAGGUCACAGGCUUAGGAUGUUAAAGACUCAAGAUGACAUUAUUCCUACCUCAAAAUAACAACAGCUUCUACAUUGCACACCCACUGGCUACCAACCUUCCAUUAACAUGCAAUCAUUCCUAGGCUGCCUCAAAGACACAAGACAACAGCUG